rnacentral:rRNA from 1 species
UGAGUAACCUGCCCUUAACUCUGGGAUAAGCCUGGGAAACUUGGUCUAAUACCGGAUAUGACUCCUCAUCGCAUGGUGGGGGGUGGAAAGCUUUUUGUGGUUUUGGAUGGACUCGCGGCCUAUCAGCUUGUUGGUGAGGUAAUGGCUCACCAAGGCAUCGACGGGUAGCUGGUCUGAGAGGAUGAUCAGCCACACGUGGGACUGGGACACGGCCCCCCAGACCUCCGUACGGGAGCA